CUACCACAGCCAUUCUUCUUUCCUCAAAAUUUCAUAUAAGUGCUACGACUACCCUGCUCAAGGCACACUAGGUGAUGUAUUUUUUUUUGCCGGCGCGAAAGUCAUCCUGUUCAUCGCAUUGCUGGUGACACAUUCUUGCAGGUGCUGUCCAGUGAUCAGAGGAAAGGAAAAGAGCUCAAAAGGGGUGCUUUGGAUGAGUCAAACACAAGACCAAGGUAGUGCAAUAGUUAUUAGAAGGAAAAGAAAAGAGCUCAAAAGGGGUACUUUGGAUGAGUCAAACACAAGACCAAGAUAGUGCAAUAGUUAUUAAAAGG